GGAAGGAUAGGAGCACCGUGGGUAAGCCUCUGUCACAGAACUCCAUCCGAAAUCACCAUCCUGUUAAGCCCUACACCACAAACUUCACCUACCCGUUCCGCUUUGCCUCGUCUUCCCCUUUUGUUCUCAUUAUCUAUUUACCGGAUCGCUGCAUUGCUCCCAAGACAAAUCUCCGGAGACCAUUCAUAACGCAGCAGUUCUCCCCGCUGCUCCAUCCCCAGCAAAGCCCCGCGCACCAACAAUGCCCCGGCUCGCAGACAAGCCCCAGCAAGUUCCGGCAGCGAGGUUACCAUCCGAACCCGAGCGAGAAAACAGCGCCGAUUUACGACAAAGGCUUUCCUAUUGAAGAAGAGGUAUUGUUUGUUCUCCGCUCCUGUGCACAAUGCGUUGUUGGAGUAAUAAACGCUGAGUUCCCUGCGCUG